rnacentral:lncRNA from 1 species
AAAGCUGAAACAUGGUUGAAUGUUUUUCACAGGCUCUACAUGAGGUUUAUAGCACAGACCUGUCAUAGUCACUGGCUCAGGCUGGAAGGCUCACUCAAGAUGUAAGGUGGCCACGUUUUCAACCUGAGAAUAUUCUGUUGUCCAAAUGGAACCUUCUGCUGGGACAAUGAACAAAUCCCUAUGUGUGGCUUGGAGAAUUCUUUUUCAAAAGGUCAGCCAGUCAGAAAUGGACUCAUUUCAAAAACAUACUUCCAAAUGCCACAUAAUCAA